rnacentral:rRNA from 1 species
UACGUAGGGGGCUAGCGUUGUCCGGAAUCAUUGGGCGUAAAGCGCGUGUAGGCGGUCUGUCGCGUCUGCUGUGAAAAUCCGGGGCUCAACCCCGGACUUGCAGUGGGUACGGGCAGACUAGAGUGUGGUAGGGGAGACUGGAAUUCCUGGUGUAGCGGUGAAAUGCGCAGAUAUCAGGAGGAACACCGAUGGCGAAGGCAGGUCUCUGGGCCACUACUGACGCUGAGGAGCGAAAGCGUGGGGAGCGAACAGG